rnacentral:lncRNA from 1 species
UGGAGAAGGCCUGAAAAAAGAAACUUUCUGCUCCUGUAGCCCCUGGCACUGCAUCUCCUUGCUUUCAUAUGCUGAUGCCUAUGUUGCUUGUGCACUGAACCAACCCUAAUAAUUCUUAAACAAACAAACAAAAAAAACAAAAACAAAAGAAAAAACUUCUGAACACUGCUAUACCUGAGCGUUAGCAAAGCAAUGGCAUUUCCUUGUUCAGCUGAAAAGAAGGACUGAAGCUGUUCUGGGAUUUCAUCAUACCUAUUUCAUCAUACCUUCUAGAAAGCAAGUGUAUUCUCUGAAGUCUGAUAAAAAGAAACUGCCAUCUGUUAGGCCAUGAAGCACGAGAAAUAUCAGAAGAAAAUUCCAAAGUAGCCAUGCUCUGAGAGUAUUUUGUCCUGAAUUGAGUAAUGCUCAAAUGUUAUCUGAAUGUUGGAAGAAACCAUUUAAAAGAAAAAUCUUUACAAGCAAUUAUGCAUGCUGAAGCAAUCUACAUAGCAUACAGAAGAUUAUGCAGGUACUCAACUGGAACUUCUGCAAGUGAAAUACCAUGAGUGAAACACAUACCUGCUGACUCUACUGCAGACUGCUGCUGCUUUUAUUAUAUGUGUGGUUUUUUGUUUUUUUUGUGAGUGAUUUCUACUGACUUUAUGGAAAAAUAAUUACUUUUUCUUUGCCUUGUAAUUUUUGAGGUCCAGCCAGGCAUAUGGAAAAUUGGCCAUAGUGUAUGGGUAGUGUAGAGGAACUGUUGGAUCAUGGCUUGAACUGGUGAUUGAGCACCUGGUGAAGCAGUGUGACUGGCCCAGGGAGCACAGGCAAAUUGUUUGCACCUGUGCUCCCCAGGUGACUACAAGGGGUGGAGCCACACUGGGCUCAUAUAAGGGCUGGCCACUGAAGGGAGAGCACCUCUUGGACCUGUAGUGGCUUCCUGAGAAGGAGUGCUGCGUAGUCAGAUAUCUUUCACUGGUUAGGUGAGUUCAGAUUUUUUUUUUUUUUUUUUUCUUCAGUAUCUGACUACUGGCCUCCCUGUGAAUACUUUGCCUGGUCUGCCAUGAAUCUGUCAGAAGCAGUUUUGCUUCUUCAUGAGCAGAAUUUUUAGAUUCAUUAUACAGGCA